GACGAACGCUGGCGGCGUGCUUAACACAUGCAAGUCGAACGGAGUGGCGAACGGGUGAGUAACACGUGGGUGACCUGCCCUGCACUUCGGGAUAAGCCUGGGAAACUGGGUCUAAUACCGGAUAGUGUGGGAUGGGCCCGCGGCCUAUCAGCUUGUUGGUGGGGUAAUGGCAUACCAAGGCGGCGACGGGUAGCCGGCCUGAGAGGGUGGACGGCCAAAUGGGGACUGAGACACGGCACAGACUGCUACGGGAGGCAGCAGGGGGGAAUAGUGCACAAUGGGCGGAAGCGUGAGGCAGGGACGCCGUGUGGGGGAUGUCGGUCUUCGGGUUGUAAACUCCUUUCACCAUCGACGCGGUAGAUGGAGAAGAAGCACCGGCUAAAUACGUGCCAGCCGCCGCGGUAAUAC
rnacentral:rRNA from 1 species